GCUACCCAGGUAUCAUCUUGCCCUUUGAAUCUGAAGCUGUCAUGCCCAAAGAUUUCAUAGGAGGAGGAGCUCAACCUGUUGGAGCAUAUGAGGAGGGCUUUUGCAAGAUGUCUGGUAUGAAGGAAAAGAUGCCAAUCUUCAUCGCGAUGCCUCCGGAGGAUCCUCCAUGGAAUGGAAUGGCUUUGACGAUUUUGUUACUGAGUUUGAGGGACCUCAGGUUGGGGCAGCAUAUAUUGAGGUACGCGAUUUGAAGGUCUAGAGGUUAUCAAACGAAUUUUUAGAAGCCCAGAGGUUUUUCUUCGUGAACUGAUCAGCAACGCCUCUGAUGCUUUGGGCAGGUUUAAAAUGCAGAGCCUGGGUUGUCAUCCAGAACUUUCAGUCGAAAUUGAAAUUGAUAAGACUGAAAAGACACUUUCUAUCACGGAUAAUGGCAUAGGGAUGACUAAAGCAGAUCUGAAGCAUGAAUUGGGUACUAUUGGGUGGUCGGGAACUAACAAGUAUCUGGAGUAUUUGAAGUUACAGGAAUUAUCUCAUCCGAGCAUGAUUGGAGAGUUUGGUUGUUGUUUCUUCGCUGCUUUUCUUGUCGCCCACAAAGUCCAGGUUUUCUCAAAACAUGAUGAAGAUGAACAAUACAUGUGGGAAUCACAGGGUGAUGGCUUCUUUACUGUCAUCAAGGAUGUCCAUGGCGAGAAACUUGUGAGGGGCACCAAGGUCACUCUUUUCCUAAAAGCAGAUCAGAUGGAGUACUUGGAGGAGGGGAGGAUUGAAGAGCUUGUGAAGAAGCACUCAGAAUUCAUAAGCUAUCCAAUAUACCUUUCAAGGAAGCUUGCCUCUGAGUUUGUGAGCGAUCCAGUUGGCCUCUCCGGCACUGAAACAGACCAGAAGAUUAUCAAUGAUCCUAGACCAUGCUGGCUCUCUAAACCUGAGGAGGUCAGCAUGGCUGAGUAUGUUCAUCCCUUCAAGAGGUUGACCAGUGAUGGGGAACACCUGCUUGCGUUCAAGCAUUUCUCCAUGCCUGAAGCUAAUGGCAUUAUCUUUGUCCCUAAGAGUGCCCCAUUCCAACACUUUGACACCAGGGAGAAAUCUCAUAACAUCAAGCUUUAUGUCAGGAGGGUGUUCAUCAUGGACAAGUCGGAUCAGUUGGUUCCAGAGUACCUUGAAUUUGUUAAGGGUGUUGUAGGCUCUGACCACAUGCCACUCAACAUAUGUCGUGAAAUGCCUCGACAAAGAAUGACUUUGGAUGUGAUCAGGAAGAACAUCGUAAAGUAUUGCUUUGAGAUGUUUAAUGAGAUUGCUAAAAACAAAACGGAUUACACAAAGUUCUAUGAGGCAUUUUCCAAGAACUUGAAGCUGGGAAUUCAUGUGGACAGGCAGAACAGAACCCAAUUGGGUAACCUGCUCCGAUACCACUCCACCAAGUGUCGUGAAGAGCUCACAAGCUUCCAGGAGUAUGUGACCAGGAUGAAGGAUGGUCAAAAUGUUAUUUACUAUGUUAAUUGUGAGAGCAAGAAGUGGAGGGUGAACUGUUCAAUCUUGGAACUCCUUAAGGAAAUGGAGUAUGAAUUUCUCCUCAUGGUAGAUGCUGACAUGUACACGGUGGAAGAUCUGAAGGAAUAUGAUGGAAAAAAGCUUGUGUCUGCCUUUAAGGAUGGUGAGCUCAUUGACGAGCUGAGGAGGUGAGGCAGAAUGAAGAGGAUAAGUAUUCAAUGUUUUGGAGCUCUGUUCUUUUCGAUUUGAUACGGCAUCGUACAGAUGGUUUUCAAGUGUUGUUGCCAUGGGAUUCUGACAAAGAAGAGCUUUAUUUCAUUGGUUUUACUGUCAAAUUUAUCAGAGGACCAGAAAUACUGGCCUCGAUGCAUGCCGGUAACUACGUUUGCAUUAAACACUUGAAUGCAGUUUAA